AGAGUUUGAUCCUGGCUCAGAAUCAACGCUGGCGGCGUGCCUAACACAUGCAAGUCGAACGAGAAAGUGGAGCAAUCCAUGAGUAAAGUGGCGCACGGGUGAGUAACACGUGACUAACCUACCCUUGAGUGGGGGAUAACCUAGGGAAACCUGGGCUAAUACCGCAUAAUACCUACGGGUCAAAGGAGCAAUUCGCUUUAGGAGGGGGUCGCGGCCGAUUAGUUAGUUGGCGGGGUAAUGGCCCACCAAGACAGUGAUCGGUAUCCGGCCUGAGAGGGCGCACGGACACACUGGAACUGAAACACGGUCCAGACUCCUACGGGAGGCAGCAGUGGGGAAUUUUGCGCAAUGGGGGAAACCCUGACGCAGCAACGCCGCGUGGAGGAUGAAGCCCCUUGGGGCGUAAACUCCUUUCGAUCGGGAAGA
rnacentral:rRNA from 1 species